AUUGAACGCUGGCGGCAUGCCUUACACAUGCAAGUCGAACGGCAGCACGGGAGCAAUCCUGGUGGCGAGUGGCGAACGGGUGAGUAAUAUAUCGGAACGUGCCCGGUCGUGGGGAUAACGUAGCGAAAGCUACGCUAAUACCGCAUACGAUCUACGGAUGAAAGCGGGGGAUCGCAAGACCUCGCGCGAUUGGAGCGGCCGAUAUCAGAUUAGGUAGUUGGUGAGGUAAAGGCUCACCAAGCCGACGAUCUGUAGCUGGUCUGAGAGGACGACCAGCCACACUGGGACUGAGACACGGCCCAGACUCCCUACGGGAGGCAGCAGUGGGAAUUUUGGACAAUGGGCGCAAGCCUGAUCUAGCAAUGCCGC
rnacentral:rRNA from 1 species